rnacentral:rRNA from 1 species
AAUGGGGGCAACCCUGAUCCAGCCAUGCCGCGUGAGUGAAGAAGGCCUUCGGGUUGUAAAGCUCUUUCGGCCGGGAGGAAAUCGCAUAGGUUAAUACCCUGUGUGGAUGACAGUACCGGAAUAAGAAGCACCGGCUAACUCCGUGCCAGCAGCCGCGGUCAUACGUAGGGUGCGAGCGUGAAUCGGAAUUACUGGGCGUAAAGCGUGCGCNGGCGGGUUUUUAAGGCAGGCGUGAAAUCCCCGGGCUCAACCUGGGAACUGCGCUUGUGACUGGAAGGCUAGAGUAUGGCAGAGGGGGGUGGAAUUCCACGUGUAGCAGUGAAAUGCGUAGAGAUGUGGAGGAACACCGAUGGCGAAGGCAGCCCCCUGGGCCAAUACUGACGCUCAUGCACGAAAGCGUGGGGAGCAAA